rnacentral:rRNA from 1 species
UACGUAGGUGGCAAGCGUUGUCCGGAAUUAUUGGGCGUAAAGCGCGCGCAGGCGGUUCCUUAAGUCUGAUGUGAAAGCCCCCGGCUCAACCGGGGAGGGUCAUUGGAAACUGGGGAACUUGAGUACUGAAGAGGAAAGCGGAAUUCCAGGUGUAGCGGUGAAAUGCGUAGAUAUCUGGAGGAACACCGGGUGGCGAAGGCGGCUACCUGGCCCAACAUUGACGCUGAGACCCGGAAAGCGUGGGGAUCAAACAGG